rnacentral:rRNA from 1 species
GACGGAGGAUGCAAGUGUUAUCCGGAAUCACUGGGCGUAAAGCGUCUGUAGGUGGUCAAAUAAGUCAACUGUUAAAUCUUGAGGCUCAACCUCAAAAUCGCAGUCGAAACUAUUCGACUAGAGUAUAGUAGGGGUAAAGGGAAGUUUCCGGUGGAGCGGUGAAAUGCGUAGAGAUGUGGAGGAAUACCGAUGGCGAAGGCAGCCUCCUGGGCCAACACUGACGCUCAUGCACGAAAGCGUGGGGAGCAAACAGGA